UACGGAGGGUGCAAACGUUGCUCGGAAUCAUUGGGCGUAAAGCGCACGUAGGCGGUCCACUAAGUCGGUGGUGAAAUCCUGGAGCUCAACUCCAGAACUGCCUUCGAUACUGAGAGUCUCGAGUCCGGGAGAGGUGAGUGGAACUGCGAGUGUAGAGGUGAAAUUCGUAGAUAUUCGCAAGAACACCAGUGGCGAAGGCGGCUCACUGGCCCGGUACUGACGCUGAGGUGCGAAAGCGUGGGGAGCAAACAGG
rnacentral:rRNA from 1 species